GGUUGAGAUUGAAUGUUAAUGCUAAUAGUGAUAGGGUUCAUAAACCUUAUAAAGUUUAUUAAUAUUCCAAAAUCACUCAAAAUGCCACCAAUAGUUUUCUC